CCUACGGGAGGCAGCAGUGGGGAAUAUUGGGCAAUGGGCGCAAGCCUGACCCAGCAACGCCGCGUGAAGGAAGAAGGCUUUCGGGUUGUAAACCUCUGUCUUCGGUGACGAAACGAGACGGUAGCCGAGGAGGAAGCCACGGCUAACUACGUGCCAGCAGCCGCGGUAAUACGUAGGUGGCAAGCGUUGUCCGGAAUUACUGGGUGUAAAGGGAGCGUAGGCGGGAAAGCAAGUUGAAUGUUUAAGGUACGGGCUCAACCUGUACAAGCGUUCAAAACUGUUUUUCUUGAGUGGAGUAGAGGUAAGCGGAAUUCCUAGUGUAGCGGUGAAAUGCGUAAAUAUUAGGAGGAACACCAGUGGCGAAGGCGGCUUACUGGGCUUUAACUGACGCUGAGGCUCGAAAGCGUGGGGAGCAAACAGGAUUAGAUACCCGAGUAGUC
rnacentral:rRNA from 1 species